CCUCCCUAAUCGCCGAACCCUUCCUCACCUUAUCUCGUCGCUGCCCCGAUUAUUCCUCCUCUCUCGCGCCGUUUACUCUCUGCUCUUCUUCUUCUCCUCAUCUUCUCCAACCGGCACCCCUUUCUCUUCUUCCGCGUCAUCUUCCCUCCUCUGCCAUCGUCUCCUCGUCGCGGAGGUCCUCAUCGUGCCGAUUGUCACGAGAGCACCGCCGGCAACAGUCCUUCUCUCCGCGAGCCUCACCAACACCAAGCUCUCUGGGCUAUCAGGCAGCCCGAUCCUCUUCUACAUUUUCCCCUUGCAUCUCUGCCCUAGAUGCAGUAAGCGUCAUCGCAUCCGACCACAAUACCUGCAAUUUGGGUGGCUAGCGUCGCCGCCAUCUCUUUCACCGGCUGCCACUUCUUCCUCUUCCAUCUGCCACCUUCGGAGAGCUGAGUACACAGGAGAGUAGGGUUGUUCUUCCGCGUAUCAGCAGUUGCAAGGGGUUACCACGCAUUGCCCCCUUCAAUUGUGUCGUGGCCAUCUGGUCAGCCACAAGGAGAUCCAUUGCUGCGGUGACCCCAUUUGUGUUUGGAUUUGUGUCAAUGUUGUGUAUCAGUGAAUUCUGAGGCAGUGAGGGUUGUUGGACAGAUUUACCAUCGUCGGAAGAGCCACAAACUGCUAAUAAGGAUUUUCUCAACAAAAUUGGUUAGUUCAUUAAUCUGUACAAGAGAAGCAAUUUAUCUCAUGAAAUUCGAAGACAGGGAGAGCAAAAAGAAGAAAUUGAAGGCAUGGAUGCUAUUAGCUCGAGAAUGGAGGAACAAAAUAUUGAAAAGGAAAACAAACUUGUUAUUACAGAAAGUAGGCAGAGGGAAGAAAAUCUCAAGGAGAUUAUUCGGAAAUGAUUCAAGAAAUGGAAUGUACAAAUCAUUUAUAUCUAGGAAAAUUUAGUCUUUAUAGUUUGAUUAUUAGUCAAAUUUGUUUGGAUAAUGUAAAUAUUUAUUUAUUUUAAUGUUAAUUGUAUAAUACAUUUGGAAUUAGAAGUUAUUUCUUUUUAAUAA